GACGGUAACAGCCCGGUAGUUGAAAUGGCUUUCCCUCCAGAGUGGAUCCUGAGUACGGCGGAACACGUGAAAUUCCGUCGGAAUCCGGGAGGACCAUCUCCCAAGGCUAAAUACUCCCUAGUGACCGAUAGUGAACCAGUACCGUGAGGGAAAGGUGAAAAGCACCCCGGAAGGGGAGUGAAACAGUUCCUGAAACCGUGUGCCUACAAGUAGUUAGAGCCCGUUAAUGGGUGAUAGCGUGCCUUUUGUAGAAUGAACCGGCGAGUUACGAUUUGUUGCAAGGUUAAGCGGAAAAAGCGGAGCCGUAGCGAAAGCGAGUCUGAAUAGGGCGCAUAAGUAACAGGUCGUAGACCCGAAACCAGGUGAUCUACCCAUGUCCAGGAUGAAGGUAAGGUAAUACUUACUGGAGGUCCGAACCCACGCACGUUGAAAAGUGCGGGGAUGAGGUGUGGGUAGCGGAGAAAUUCCAAUCGAACUUGGAGAUAGCUGGUUCUCUCCGAAAUAGCUUUAGGGCUAGCCUCGAGGUAAAGAGUCAUGGAGGUAGAGCACUGUUUGGACUAGGGGCCCUUCUCGGGUUACCGAAUUCAGAUAAACUCCGAAUGCCAUGUACUUAUACUCGGGAGUCAGACUGCGAGUGAUAAGAUCCGUAGUCGAAAGGGAAACAGCCCAGACCACCAGUUAAGGUCCCCAAAUAUAUGUUAAGUGGAAAAGGAUGUGGGGUUGCUUAGACAACCAGGAUGUUGGCUUAGAAGCAGCCACCAUUGAAAGAGUGCGUAAUAGCUCACUGGUCGAGUGACCCCGCGCCGAAAAUGUACCGGGGCUAAACAUAUUACCGAAACUGUGGAUGAACCUCUUUAGAGGUUCGUGGUAGGAGAGCGUUCUAAGGGCGGUGAAGUCAGACCGGAAGGACUGGUGGAGCGCUUAGAAGUGAGAAUGCCGGUAUGAGUAGCGAAAGAAGGGUGAGAAUCCCUUCCACCGAAUAUCUAAGGUUUCCUGAGGAAGGCUCGUCCGCUCAGGGUUAGUCGGGACCUAAGCCGAGGCCGAUAGGCGUAGGCGAUGGACAACAGGUAGAGAUUCCUGUACCAGUGCUAAUUGUUUAACCGAUGGGGUGACACAGAAGGAUAGGGAAUCGCACGAAUGGAAAUGUGCGUCCAAGCAGUGAGUGUGAGAAGUAGGCAAAUCCGCUUCUCGCGAAGCAUGAGCUGUGAUGGGGAAGGAAAUUAAGUACGGAAGUUCCUGAUUUCACGCUGUCAAGA
rnacentral:rRNA from 1 species